CUCCUGAUGGUGUAGUUGGUUUAUCACGUUCGGCUGUAAUGGAAGUCCAAUGUAACCGAAAGGUCCCUAGUUCGAAUCUGGGUCGGGAGA